rnacentral:rRNA from 1 species
GACGAACGCUGGCGGCGUGCCUAAUACAUGCAAGUAGGACGCAGUUGCGAACGGGUGAGUAACGCGUAGGUAACUACCUAUUAGAGGGGGAUAACUAUUGGAAACGAUAGCUAAUACCGCAUAUUAGUAGAUGGACCUGCGUUGUAUUAGCUAGUAGGUAGGGUAAAGGCCUACCUGGGCAACGAUACAUAGCCGACCUGAAAGGGUGAUCGGCCACACGGGGACUGGGCCACGGCCCAGACUCCUCCGGAAGGCGGCAGUAGGGAAUCUUCGGCAAUGGGGGGAACCCUGACCGGGCAACGCCGCGUGAGUGAAAAAGGUUUUCGGAUCGUAAAGCUCUGUUGUUAAGGAAGCGGUACUUAACAAGAAAGGGCCGGCUAACUACGUGCCAGCAGCCGCGGUAAUU